rnacentral:rRNA from 1 species
GAUUAUCGGGCUCUAAAAUAUGCACACAUCGCCCGUCGCUCUCGUGAUAAAUGAGAUAAGUCGUAACAUAGUAGAUGUAUUGGAAAAUGUAUCUAGAAAGUCA